CGGAGGAAAAGAAACCAACAGGGAUUGCCUUAGUAACGGCGAGUGAAGCGGCAAAAGCUCAAAUUUGAAAUCUGGCACCUUCGGUGUCCGAGUUGUAAUUUGAAGAAGGUAACUUUGGAGUUGGCUCUUGUCUAUGUUCCUUGGAACAGGACGUCACAGAGGGUGAGAAUCCCGUGCGAUGAGAUGCCCAAUUCUAUGUAAAGUGCUUUCGAAGAGUCGAGUUGUUUGGGAAUGCAGCUCUAAGUGGGUGGUAAAUUCCAUCUAAAGCUAAAUAUUGGCGAGAGACCGAUAGCGAACAAGUACAGUGAUGGAAAGAUGAAAAGAACUUUGAAAAGAGAGUGAAAAAGUACGUGAAAUUGUUGAAAGGGAAGGGCUUGAGAUCAGACUUGGUAUUUUGCGAUCCUUUCCUUCUUGGUUGGGUUCCUCGCAGCUUACUGGGCCAGCAUCGGUUUGGAUGGUAGGAUAAUGACUAAGGAAUGUGGCUCUACUUCGGUGGAGUGUUAUAGCCUUGGUUGAUACUGCCUGUCUAGACCGAGGACUGCGUCUUUUGACUAGGAUGUUGGCAUAAUGAUCUUAAGCCACCCGUCUU
rnacentral:rRNA from 1 species